CAAAGGCUUGGUCCUGACUUUACUAUCGACUCUACCUAAACUUACACAUGCAAGUCUCCGCUUCCCCGUGAGAAUGCCCACAGUUCCCUGCCCGGGAACAAGGAGCUGGUAUCAGGCACAUACUUUUAAGCCCACGACACCUUGCUUAGCCACACCCCCAAGGGUACUCAGCAGUGAUAGACAUUAAGCCAUAAGUGAAAACUUGACUUAAUUAUAGGUAAGAGGGCCGGUAAAACUCGUGCCAGCCACCGCGGUUAGACGAGAGGCCCAAGUUGAUAGACAACGGCGUAAAGAGUGGUUAGGGGCUGCAACAAACUAAAGCUGAAUGCUCUCAAGACUGUUAUACGUACCCGAGAGUCCGAAACCCAACUACGAAAGUGGCUUUAUUAAACCCGACCCCACGAAAGCUAAGGAACAAACUGGGAUUAGAUACCCCACUAUG
rnacentral:rRNA from 1 species